GAUCACCCCUCUUAGAGCACUUCUGCAAGCCCAGGACAUGGAGGUCAACUUAGAGCGGGAAAUCAUCAUCUGUUAGAAAGGCAGCAGAAAGAUACACAAAACAAGUGAAUGCUACUGCAGAUCUCCCUACUCUUCUGGUGUGUCCUGUCAAACUUCCAAAACAACUACAACUGUGUAUGCUGGACAGAGAAAAUAUGGUUAAAAAGAACUUACCCACUCUUCUGUCCUAACACGUUUGGGUUUCUUGGCCAAGCAUGAAGCCAAUUCCAGAAGAAAAGACUGUUCCUCCAGCCUGAAGGCACCUCUAUCUGUGCAUUUUAGAAGGGUUCUUCUGGACCUAUGACUGCUGCAGUAAAGGAAGAGAAUGGGAUUUUUAGCUUUCCAGAAUGUAACCAACAUAUAGAGCUCUGCAAUUCAGAGUCAAUACCUAAAGUGAUGCUAUAAGCAAUAAAUUGCGAGUAUUUCUAGAGAGCAGCAGGUUUCUGGAAGC
rnacentral:lncRNA from 1 species